UGAAAAAUCCUUGACUUUAGACUAAACAUUACUUAGCAACAAUUGAAAACAUCUGUGUUACCGACAUUCUUCUCAUACUAAAUCCAAAACGUAACACUAUACCGGCUACGAGAAAGAAAACUAAGUCUAUCCCAGCCGAAACCAGGACAAAUAGCAAUGUGUACAGAAAGAAGGGCGGAGGAAUUCUAAAAUAGGGUCAUCGGGGAACCAGAGACAGUGAGAUGGAGAAAGGACACACGUGACAGGCCACAGGGCGAGAGGGAGGAAUUAACGAACAGGGACAAAGAGCUGGCUAGAGAGAGACGGAAAAAGGCAAAAGAUUGCACGGGCAACAGGACAGAGAGGGGGGAACUCAAAAACCAGGGGCAGGGAUCCGGACAGAGUGAGAGGCAGAAGUAAAAUGGG